AUACGGAAGGUCCGAGCGUUAUCCGGAUUUAUUGGGUUUAAAGGGAGCGCAGGCGGCACUUCAAGCGUGACGUUAAAUUUCGGGGCUCACCCCCGUUAUGCGUCGCGAACUGUUGUGCUUGAGUAGGCGGCAGGGAGGCGGAAUUCGCGGUGUAGCGGUGAAAUGCGUAGAUAUCGCGAGGAACUCCGAUAGCGCAGGCAGCCUCCCGUUGCUUUACUGACGCUCAUGCUCGAAGGUGCGGGUAUCGAACAGGAUUAGAUACCCUGGUAGUCCGCACUGUAAACGAUGGAUGCCCGCUGUUGGGCCUUUUGGGUUCAGUGGCCAAGAGAAAUCGUUAAGCAUCCCACCUGGGGAGUACGCCGGCAACGGUGAAACUCAAAUGAAUUGACGGGG
rnacentral:rRNA from 1 species